rnacentral:rRNA from 1 species
AGUGAACGCUGGCGGUAGGCCUAACACAUGCAAGUCGAACGGCAGCACAGUAAGAGCUUGCUCUUACGGGUGGCGAGUGGCGGACGGGUGAGGAAUACAUCGGAAUCUACUUUUUCGUGGGGGAUAACGUAGGGAAACUUACGCUGAUACCGCAUACGACCUACGGGUGAAAGCAGGGGAUCUUCGGACCUUGCGCGAUUGAAUGAGCCGAUGCCGGAUUAGCUAGUUGGCGGGGUAAAGGCCCACCAAGGCGACGAUCCGUAGCUGGUCUGAGAGGAUGAUCAGCCACACUGGAACUGAGACACGGUCCAGACUCCUACGGGAGGCAGCAGUGGGGAAUAUUGGACAAUGGGCGCAAGCCUGAUCCAGCCAUACCGCGUGGGUGAAGAAGGCCUUCGGGUUGUAAAGCCCUUUUGUUGGGAAAGAAAAGCAGCAGGUUAAUACCCCGCUGUUCUGACGGUACCCAAAGAAUAAGCACCGGCUAACUUCGUG